rnacentral:rRNA from 1 species
GACGAACGCUGUUGGCGUGCCUAACACAUGCAAGUCGAGCGAAGUGGGUACUACGGUACGAACUUAGCGGCGGACGGGUGAGUAACGCGUGGACAAUCUACCCUGUAGACUGGGAUAACACCUCGAAAGGGGUGCUAAUACCGGAUAAUGUCGAGAAGCGGCAUCGCUUUUCGAAGAAAGGAGAGAAUCCGCUAUAGGAGGAGUCCGCGUCCCAUUAGCUAGGUGGCGAGGGUAACGGCCCACCAAGGCGACGAUGGGUAGCCGGCCGGAGAGGGUGAACGGCCACACUGGAAAUGAGACACGGUCCAGACUCCGACGGGAGGCAGCAGUGGGGAAUAUUGUGCAAUGGGGGAAACCCUGACACAGCAACGCCGCGUGAGCGAAGAAGGCCUUCGGGUUGUAAAGCUCAAUAGUAUGGGAAGAUAAUGACGGUACCAUACGAAAGCCCCGGCUAACUACGUGCCAGCAGCCGCCGUAAAAC